rnacentral:rRNA from 1 species
CGCGUAGGCGGCAAUACAAGUCGCAUGUGAAAGACCAGGGCUCAACCCUGGGGUGUCAUGCGAAACUGUAUAGCUUGAGUGCAGUAGAGGAAAGCGGAAUUCCUGGUGUAGCGGUAAAAUGCGUAGAGAUCAGGAGGAACACCGGUGGCGAAGGCGGCUUUCUGGGCUGUAACUGACGCUGAUGCGCGAAAGCGUGGGGAGCAAACAGGAUUAGAUACCCUGGUAGUCCACGCCGUAAACGAUGAUUACUAGGUGUAGGGGACGCAGGUCUUCUGUGCCGGAGCUAACGCAAUAAGUAAUCCGCCUGGGGAGUACGGCCGCAAGGUUGAA